UCUUCGAUGGUCUAGUGGUCAUGAUUUCCGCUUGUCAACCAAUAAUUGGCGAGCGCGGGAGACCGGGGUUCGAUUCCCCGUCGGAGAG